GACGAACGCUGGCGGCGUGCCUAAUACAUGCAAGUCGAACGAGAGCGACCGGUGCUUGCACUGGUCAAUCUAGUGGCGAACGGGUGAGUAACACGUGGGUAACCUGCCCAUCAGAGGGGGAUAACAUUCGGAAACGGAUGCUAAAACCGCAUAGGUCUUCGAACCGCAUGGUUUGAAGAGGAAAAGAGGCGCAAGCUUCUGCUGAUGGAUGGACCCGCGGUGCAUUAGCUAGUUGGUGAGGUAACGGCUCACCAAGGCCGUGAUGCAUAGCCGACCCGAGAGGGUGAUCGGCCACAUUGGGACUGAGACACGGCCCAAACUCCUACGGGAGGCAGCAGUAGGGAAUCUUCCGCAAUGGACGCAAGUCUGACGGAGCAACGCCGCGUGAGUGAAGAAGGUUUUCGGAUCGUAAAACUCUGUUGUUAGAGAAGAACAAGUGCUAGAGUAACUGUUAGCGCCUUGACGGUAUCUAACCAGAAAGCCACGGCUAACUACGUGCCAGCAGCCGCGGUAAUACGUAGGUGGCAAGCGUUGUCCGGAUUUAUUGGGCGUAAAGCGAGCGCAGGCGGUUCCUUAAGUCUGAUGUGAAAGCCCCCGGCUCAACCGGGGAGGGUCAUUGGAAACUGGGGAACUUGAGUGCAGAAGAGGAGAGUGGAAUUCCAUGUGUAGCGGUGAAAUGCGUAGAUAUAUGGAGGAACACCAGUGGCGAAGGCGACUCUCUGGUCUGUAACUGACGCUGAGGCUCGAAAGCGUGGGUAGCAGACAGG
rnacentral:rRNA from 1 species